GCGGAAAUAGCUCAGUGGUAGAGCACCACCUUGCCAAGGUGGGGGUCGCGAGUUCGAGUCUCGUUUUCCGCUCCA
rnacentral:tRNA from 2 species